CCAGAGAUGCCUGUGUUCUUAAUGUUUAGU
rnacentral:piRNA from 1 species